rnacentral:rRNA from 1 species
AACGCUAGCUACAGGCUUAACACAUGCAAGUCGAGGGGAAACGGCAUCGAAAGCUUGCUUUUGAUGGGCGUCGACCGGCGCACGGGUGAGUAACGCGUAUCCAACCUGCCCACCACUUGGGGAUAACCUUGCGAAAGUAAGACUAAUACCCAAUGAUAUCUCUAGAAGACAUCUGAAAGAGAUUAAAGAUUUAUCGGUGAUGGAUGGGGAUGCGUCUGAUUAGCUUGUUGGCGGGGUAACGGCCCACCAAGGCGACGAUCAGUAGGGGUUCUGAGAGGAAGGUCCCCCACAUUGGAACUGAGACACGGUCCAAACUCCUACGGGAGGCAGCAGUGAGGAAUAUUGGUCAAUGGGCGAGAGCCUGAACCAGCCAAGUAGCGUGCAGGAUGACGGCCCUAUGGGUUGUAAACUGCUUUUAUAAGGGAAUAAAGUGGGAGUCGUGACUCCUUUUGCAUGUACCUUAUGAAUAAGGACCGGCUAAUUCCGUGCCAGCAGCCGCGGUAAUACGGAAGGUCCGGGCGUUAUCCGGAUUUAUUGGGUUUAAAGGGAGCGUAGGCCGGAGAUUAAGCGUGUUGUGAAAUGUAGACGCUCAACGUCUGCACUGCAGCGCGAACUGGUUUCCUUGAGUACGCACAAAGUGGGCGGAAUUCGUGGUGUAGCGGUGAAAUGCUUAGAUAUCACGAAGAACUCCGAUUG